GAUGAACGCUGGCGGCGUGCCUAAUACAUGCAAGUCGAGCGAACAGACGAGGAGCUUGCUCCUCUGACGUUAGCGGCGGACGGGUGAGUAACACGUGGAUAACCUACCUAUAAGACUGGGAUAACUUCGGGAAACCGGAGCUAAUACCGGAUAAUAUAUUGAACCGCAUGGUUCAAUAGUGAAAGACGGUUUUGCUGUCACUUAUAGAUGGAUCCGCGCCGCAUUAGCGAGUUGGUAAGGUAACGGCUUACCAAGGCGACGAUGCGUAGCCGACCUGAGAGGGUGACCGGCCACACUGGAACUGAGACACGGUCCAGACUCCUACGGGAGGCAGCAGUAGGGAAUCUUCCGCAAUGGGCGAAAGCCUGACGGAGCAACGCCGCGUGAGUGAUGAAGGUCUUCGGAUCGUAAAACUCUGUUAUUAGGGAAGAACAAAUGUGUAAGUAACUAUGCACGUCUUGACGGUACCUAAUCAGAAAGCCACGGCUAACUACGUG
rnacentral:rRNA from 1 species